rnacentral:rRNA from 1 species
GANGCCUGACGCAGCACGCCGCGUGGGGGAUGAAUGCCUUCGGGUUGUAAACCCCUUUCAGCAGGGACGAAAAUGACGGUACCUGCAGAAGAAGCUCCGGCCAACUACGUGCCAGCAGCCGCGGUAAUACGUAGGGAGCAAGCGUUGUCCGGAAUUAUUGGGCGUAAAGAGCUCGUAGGCGGUUCAGUAAGUCGGGUGUGAAAACUCAAGGCUCAACCUUGAGACGCCACUCGAUACUGCUGUGACUUGAGUCCGGUAGAGGAGUGUGGAAUUCCUGGUGUAGCGGUGAAAUGCGCAGAUAUCAGGAGGAACACCAGCGGCGAAGGCGGCACUCUGGGCCGGUACUGACGCUGAGGAGCGAAAGCAUGGGGAGCAAACAGGAUUAGAUACCCUGGUAGUCCAUGCCGUAAACGUUGGGCACUAGGUAUGGGAUCAUAUCAACGGAUUCCGUGCCGUAGCUAACGCAUUAAGUGCCCCGCCUGNGNAANNNACGGA